rnacentral:rRNA from 1 species
AUUGAACGCUGGCGGCAGGCUUAACACAUUCAAGUCGAGCGAGCGGCGGACGGGUGAGUAAUGUCUGGGAAACUGCCUGAUGGAGGGGGAUAACUACUGGAAACGGUAGCUAAUACCGCAUACCAUCAGAUGUGCCCAGAUGGGAUUAGCUAGUAGGUGGGGUAAUGGCUCACCUAGGCGAAGAUCCCUAGCUGGUCUGAGAGGAUGACCAGCCACACGGGAAAUGAGACACGGUCCAGACUCCGACGGGAGGCAGCAGUGGGGAAUAUUGCAAAAUGGGCGCAAGCAGGAUGCAGCCAUGCCGCGUGUGUGAAGAAGGCCUUCGGGUUGUAAAGCACUUUCAGAGAGGAGGCGUUACUCGCAGAAGAAGCACAGGCUAACGCCGUGCCAGCAGCCGCGGUAAUAC